rnacentral:rRNA from 1 species
GGGGAUCGCAAGACCUUGCGCUAAAGGAGCGGCCGAUGUCUGAUUAGCUAGUUGGUGGGGUAAAGGCUUACCAAGGCAACGAUCAGUAGUUGGUCUGAGAGGACGACCAACCACACUGGGACUGAGACACGGCCCAGACUCCUACGGGAGGCAGCAGUGGGGAAUUUUGGACAAUGGGCGAAAGCCUGAUCCAGCCAUGCCGCGUGAGUGAAGAAGGCCUUCGGGUUGUAAAGCUCUUUUAGUCGGAAAGAAAGAGUUGCAAUGAAUAAUUGUGAUUUAUGACGGUACCGACAGAAAAAGCACCGGCUAACUACGUGCCAGCAGCCGCGGUAAUACGUAGGGUGCGAGCGUUAAUCGGAAUUACUGGGCGUAAAGGGUGCGCAGGCGGUCUUGCAAGUCAGAUGUGAAAGCCCCGGGCUUAACCUGGGAAUUGCGUUUGAAA